AGGGUAGGGCAUAGGGCCCUUUGAAAGGCCAGUUGGGCAGAAAGGGGGACAAGAAGUAAUCCCCAUCUCCCUUGUCCUGGCAGCAGUCUCCCGAUGCCCCAGGAAGAGCGAGCAGAGAAGGGUGGACUCCACUUCCUCCCCUGGGUUCCCAUGUCCAUGACUGUCAGCUCUUAGUAAUGAAAACUGUCCUGGAGUCAAAGAAGAGACUGAAGAGAAGGGAAAGGUGGCAUCCUUCCAAACAUGGAGUUAUGACAGUUUUAUUAGCCUGUUCUCCCCCUCAUGUACACACACACACAUAGCACAUCCCAGACACAAACACACACACACUUACAUCCCAGACACAACCACACACACAUUACAUCCCAGACAAAACCACACAGAUACACACAAUCACAUCCCAGACCAAGACACACACACACCACUUCCCAGACACAAACACACACACACCACAUCCCAGACACAAACACACACACACACAUAUACACCACAUCCCAGACACAAACACACACACACCACAUCCCAGACACAAACACACACACACAUAUACACCACAUCCCAGACACAAACACACACACACCACAUCCCAGACACAAACACACACACACCACAUCCCAGACACAAACACACACACACACACACACACAUACACACCACAUCCCAGACACAACCACACAUACACACAGCACAUCCCAGACACAACCACACACACACCACAUCCCAGACACAAACACAUACACACAUACACACAUACACACCACAUCCCAGACACACACACACACACACACACACACA
rnacentral:lncRNA from 1 species